rnacentral:rRNA from 1 species
CAGUCGCCGCGGUAAAACGUAGGUGGCAAGCGUUGUCCGGAAUUAUUGGGCGUAAAGCGCGCGCAGGCGGAUCGGUCAGUCUGUCUUAAAAGUUCGGGGCUUAACCCCGUGAUGGGAUGGAAACUGCCAAUCUAGAGUAUCGGAGAGGAAAGUGGAAUUCCUAGCGUAGCGGUGAAAUGCGUAGAUAUUAGGAAGAACACCAGUGGCGAAGGCGACUUUCUGGACGAAAACUGACGCUGAGGCGCGAAAGCCAGGGGAGCGAACGGGAUUAGAUACCCCCGUAGUCCCUGUCUCUUAUACA